AUGCCCACUGUUAUCCAGGCCACCUCUCCGGAUGCCUCCCAGCCCAGCUAUCCAGCUGCCUCCCAUGUCACCUCUCCAGCUGUCUCCCAUUUCACUUCUCCAACUGCCAUCCAGGUCACCUCUCUAGCUGUCUCCCAUUUCACCUCUCCAACUGCCAUCCAGGCCACCUCUCCAGCUGUCCCAUUUCACCUCUCCAACUGCCAUCCAGGCCACCUCUCCAGCUGUCUCCCAUUUCACCUCUCCAACUGCCAUCCAGGCCACCUCUCCAGCUGCCUCCCAGGCCACCUUUCCAGCUGCGUCCCAUGUCACCUCCAACUGCCUUCCAGGCCACCUCUCCAGCUGACUUUCAGGCCACCUCUCCAGCUGCCUCUCACGCCACCUCUCCAGCUGCCUCCCAUGCCACCUCUCCAGCUGCCUUUCAGGCCAUCUCUCCAGCUGCCUUUCAGGCCACCUCUCCAGCUGCCUUCCAGGCCACCUCUCCAGCUGCCCUCCAGGCCACCUCUCCAGCUGCCUUCCAGGCCAUCUCUCCAACUGCCUUCCAGGCCCCCUCUCCACUGCCUUCGGGCCACCUCUCCAGCUGCCUCGAGGCCACCUCUCCAGCUGCCUCCCAGGCCACCUCUCCAGCUGCCUUCCAGGCCAUCUCUCCAGCUGCUUUCAGGCCAUCUCUCCCGCUGCCUUUCAGGCCACCUCUCCAGCUGCCUUCCAGGCCACCUCUCCAACUGCCUUCCAGGUCAUCUCUCCACUGCCUUUCAGGCCAUCUCUCCAACUGCCUUUCAGGCCUCUCUCAACUGCCUUUCAGGCCACCUCUCCAGCUGCCUUCCAGGCCACCUCUCCAGCUGCCUUCCAGGCCACCUCUCAGCUGGCUUCCAGGCCAACUCUCCAGCUGCCUUCCAGGCCACCUCUCCAGCUGCCUUCAGGCCAACUCUCCAACUGCCUUCCAGGCCACCUCUCCAGCUGCCCUCCAGGCCACCUCUCAGCAGCCUUCCAGGCCAUCUCUCCAGUGCCUUUCAGCCACCUCUCCAGCUGCCUUUCAGGCCACCUCUCCAGCUGCCUUCCAGGCCUUCUCUCCAGCUGCCUUCCAGGCCACCUCUCCAGCUGCCUUCCAGGCCACCUCUCCAGCUGCCUUCCAGGCCACCUCUCCAGCUGCCUUCCAGGCCACCUCUCCAGCUGCCCUCCCGGCCAUCUCUCCAGCUGCGCUCCAGGCCACCUCUCCAACUGCCUUCCAGGCCAUCCCUCCAACUGCCUUUCAGGCCACCUCUCCAACUGCUUUCCAGGCCAUCUCUCCAACUGCCUUCCAGGCCACCUCUCCACCGCCUUCCAGGCCACCUCCAACUGCCUUCCAGGCCACCUCUCCAGCUGCUUCCAGGCCACCUCUCCAGCUGCCUUCCAGGCCACCUCUCCAACUGCCUUCCAGGCCACCUCUCCAACUGCCUUCCAGGCCACCUCUCCAACUGCCUUCAGCCAACUCUCCAACUGCCUUUCAGGCCAUCUCUCCAACUGCCUUUCAGGCCAUCUCUCCAACUGCCUCCAGGCCACAGCCACUCUCCAACUGCCUUCCAGGCCACCUCUCCAACUGCCUUCCAGGCCACCUCUCCAACUGCCUUCCAGGCCACCUCUCCAACUGCCUUCCAGGCCACCUCUCCAGCUGCCUUCCAGGGCCGCUGGAAACGCCUGAUUACUCUUCUGAUUUCAACCCGGUUGAUGUACACCCAUUCAAGCACUCAGAAGGCCAAAACAAAAUGUGCCCUGCCUAAAAAAACAGCUGGAAAUAAGCAAGCCAAAACAAACCACACUGAACAACAACAAAACAAAAAAGAUUGA
rnacentral:lncRNA from 1 species